GGGCGGUUAGCUCAGUUGGAUAGAGUACAGGCCUCCGAAGCCUGGGGUCGCUGGUUCGAAUCCAGUACCGCCCGCCA
rnacentral:tRNA from 2 species